CCUACGGGUGGCAGCAGUGAGGAAUAUUGGUCAAUGGACGAGAGUCUGAACCAGCCAAGUAGCGUGAAGGAUGACUGCCCUAUGGGUUGUAAACUUCUUUUAUAUGGGAAUAAAAUGUUCCACGUGUGGGAUUUUGUAUGUACCAUAUGAAUAAGGAUCGGCUAACUCCGUGCCAGCAGCCGCGGUAAUACGGAGGGUCCGAGCGUUAUCCGGAGUUAUUGGGUUUAAAGGGAGCGUAGGUGGAUUGUUAAGUCAGUUGUGAAAGUUUGCGGCUCAACCGUAAAAUUGCAGUUGAAACUGGCAGUCUUGAGUACAGUAGAGGUGGGCGGAAUUCGUGGUGUAGCGGUGAAAUGCUUAGAUAUCACGAAGAACUCCGAUUGCGAAGGCAGUUCACUGGACUGCAACUGACACUGAGGCUCGAAAGUGUGGGUAUCAAACAGGAUUAGAUACCCCUGUAGUC
rnacentral:rRNA from 1 species